rnacentral:lncRNA from 1 species
ACAUGUGCCUGACUUCCUGCUGGUCUGGGAGACCCCGAGGGAUCCCCAGCCCCGGCCCGGACCCCCAUCACUCACUGCAUCAAUGUUGCCUUUAAUGACUUCAAUCCUCCCUGCAAAGAACAGGAAGAUGGCACCCUGCAAUGACACACAUCAGGGGCCAGGCACGGAGUAGGCACUCAAGGGACCAAAGGGAAGAGACACAGCCAGAAAGCCAGAGGAAUAUGAUUCCAGGAGACUGAGGUCCUGAGGGCAUGGAAAUCAGCCUGCAACAGCAGUCUACUAGGUUCUGGCCUCGGAGGAAAAGAUGCUGACGGCCUGGCCCAGGUGGGCAGCUGCAGGCGUGAGAGGGAUCAUGCAAGGCUCUGGGCCUGACUGCC